GGGCCCAUAGUUUAGCCGGUAAAACACUACCCUUGACAAGUAGUAUUCGGGGUUCAAGCCCCCGUGGGUCCACCA
rnacentral:tRNA from 1 species